GGUUUAAGCCUCACCAAACUUGAAACAACUCCUAAAUAAAUUCUAUCUAAAAGAUUUCAGCGACCUCAUCUGACGUUGGAAGCUAAGAAGGGUUGGGCCUGGUUAGUACUUGGAUGGGAGACCACCUAGGAAGACCAGGUGCUGUAGGCG
rfam:Pteropus alecto contig92529, whole genome shotgun sequence.